rnacentral:rRNA from 1 species
CCCCUAGAUGUUCUGGGCCGCACGCGCGCUACACUGAACAGUUCAACAAGUCUUAACCUUGGCCGAUAGGUCUGGGUAAUCUUUGAACGCUGUUCGUGAUUGGGAUAGACCUUUGCAAUUAUGGGUCUUCAACGAGGAAUUCCUAGUAAACGCAAGUCAUCAGCUUGCAUUGAUUACGUCCCUGCCCUUUGUACACACCACCCGUCGCUACUACCGAUUGAACGUUUUAGUGAGGUACUCGGACUGAGCCUCAGAAGAUUCACGUCUUUUGUGCUGCUCGGGAAGAUUCCCAAACUUGAGCGUUUAGAGGAAGUAAAAGUCGUAACA